UACGUAGGGUCCGAGCGUUGUCCGGAAUUACUGGGCGUAAAGAGCUCGUAGGUGGUUUGUCGCGUUGUUCGUGAAAACUCACAGCUCAACUGUGGGCGUGCGGGCGAUACGGGCAGACUAGAGUACUGCAGGGGAGACUGGAAUUCCUGGUGUAGCGGUGGAAUGCGCAGAUAUCAGGAGGAACACCGGUGGCGAAGGCGGUUCUCUGGGCCUGUACUGACGCUGAGGAACGAAAGCGUGGGGAGCGAACAGG
rnacentral:rRNA from 1 species